rnacentral:tRNA from 1 species
AGUUAAUGAUCUUGAUUAAGUUUAUAUCUUGAAAAUAUAAAAAAGAAAUAAAAAUUUUCUAUUAACUU